AAUCGUUGCCCCCAAAGUUCUCUUCAUUUGCAGUUACUGCUUGGAAUAAAUGGAUGAAUAUGAAACGUAAUGACUCUGUCUCAAUGCGUAUUAUAAACGGAAGACGAAGGUCGCCGGCGAAAGUUGAUCGGAAGUAGGAGACCACUGGCGAAGUCCAACGAGGUUAACUCAAAGAAAGCUCGACGACUUCGUUCUACCAAGCAGUCGCCUGCUUCGACGUUUCGCUUUGGUGUGUAUAUAUAUUUUAUUAUAGCCUCCGUUCUAAGCGCGAGCGACCUGUCGUUACUCUGACUGAAGCAUUGUGGACUUGUUCCUGUGGAAUUUCAUAUCUGAUCAACGUGUAUUGCUUUACUAGGUCCGCUAAAUUAAGCUCAAUUUGCUGUCAGUGCGGAUUCCGGAGUUUUGGCUUUUGAAUUGUGAUCGACGAGUUGGCGCAUCUGUGAACAAAGAAAACGAUGGGAUGCUUUGGUUGCUGCGAAGAAGAUGCUAUCCAGAAGGCUGCUGAUAAUAGCAACACGUACCAAGUAAAAACUUCAGCAGGAGCUGCUGGUCUGAACACGGAUUUAUGUUAUGUGUGAAAUAUUAUCACUUUGAUUUGUCAAACAAGCCCCUGAUAUGGUUGCACGGCUUCACUCCACCCGUGUUCUUGGAACCUUUGGCUAUCAUGCUCCCGAAUACGCAAUGACUGGACAAUUGAAUUCCAAGAGUGAUGUAUACAGCUUUGGCGUUGUCCUGCUUGAACUUUUGACAGGAAGAAAGCCAGUUGAUCAUACAUUACCUCGAGGACAGCAAAGCCUCGUGACAUGGGCCACGCCCAAACUUUGCGAAGAUAAAGUUAAGCAGUGUGUUGAUGCAAAACUAGGAAAUGAGUACCCUCCUAAGUCAGUUGCUAAGGUACCCCAUACGCAUACUGUUAUUUUCUUGCUUAUGUUUGGUAAUCAUAUCUCUCCUUUUUCUAUCUCUCUCCUUACUUGUCUGUGUGAGAUUCUCUUUCUUUUUUCCUUUAUUCUUUUUUUUCUAGUUUUAGAUAGAAAUUGUAUUAAACCAACAUUUCUCUAUCUAAGGGGAAGGGGAACAGAGCCCGAAGAGGACAUUUUCAAUUACCUAGAGCCACAGAGUUUAAAUCUUUACCAACAAUUUGAAAAUUGAAAAGAGAAAUAAGAAAAACUGUUUGCUACAAAACCGAUAAGAAUUAUGAAAUACGAAAGGACCCCACAUCACUGAGAAUAUAAUUGAUUCCUCAUUCUCAUCACGAUGUGGGUGAUGGAUUUUAAAAGGAAGUACUUGAAAAGUUUUUUUUUUUUUUUUUUUUGAAAAACCAUUUUUAGCACUUAAGAUUAGUCCAUAGAUUUCACACCGACUCCAUUCGGUAAAUGGUAACCAUUUUCUUCUAUUUUUAUUUUUGAAAAACUUAGUCCUAUUCUUCUUCAAUUUUUAUUAUGAUUUUUUACUAAAUUUUUAUCGUGGUUUUCAUCUUUUCAUCUCUUAAGUACAACAAGUUGAACUUUUAGCUAAAUUUUAAAUGAAAAACUAGCUUUUUAAAACUAUUUCUUUCAAGUAUUUCAAACUCAACCUUAUAAUCCAACUAGCUUCUACUAAGAUUUAAAUUUUAAUUCAAUUUGAUUUGGAG